rnacentral:lncRNA from 1 species
CUCAGAAAUUACAUAGCAUUUGUCAAGGAUAUAAGAGGGACUGUGCCACAUCUGGCUGUAUAGAAGGUGGUUCCAUAUCUUUAAAUAGAGCCCCAGGUCCUUAGCCACCAGAAAGGUUUUCAGGGGAAGUGUGCACCCUCAGCAGCUGCUGCUGGUGAGCAGCAUGGGCACACAUGGAACAGGCUUUCCUCUGUGGCCAGGUGAGAAGCAGGUGGUGAGACACAGAGCAGUGCUGGGCUCUGCUUCUGAAGCCUCCAACCUUUCCUUCCCUAGGAAGCCCCAGAGAGAUUGGUGAGGGUGAUUUCCCAGGAAGACGCAGUGUGCUCUGACUUCUGUGACAGUGAGCAACGGGACCAGUGGAUGUCCAGAUGCUGGCAAUGAGACAUACUCUGGAGUCAGAAGACAGCGAAAAGAGAAGCAGAAGCCCCGGUGGCAAGAGUCUGAAGCAGGAAGGAUGACUGUAGCCUGUGGAUUGUACUGCAGUAGGAAACUGUCCUAGCAAGGCUCCACCUUGCCCCAGCUUCAAGCUGGAAAGGAGGAGAACAUGAAACAUUGCUUGAAGACAAUGGCCGAGACAGCAGGUCCCACCCUGCACAGCCAACAGCAUCUCUCCCCUCAGCCCUGUCUCCUCUUCUGCAGUUGGGAUCUGCACAUUUAAGCCUGAAGUAAGAAUAAAACAAACCCCCAAACCACCCUAUUAAAAAAUGUGCCUGGCCUUGGACAUGCAGAGGUAGCUAUAAACUGUUGAAGGUGGGAGAAGGUCAACAAAAUGAAGGUUUGAGCCUUCUUCUACUCUGGGGCCCCCCACCUCUGAGUCCCAGCACUUCCCCCCAGCUCCAAGCCAGGUUGAGGGGGGGCAAGGGGGCCCAAGGCAGCUGCAGGGGCUGUGUUAGUAAACACUUUCCUGGGUUCCCAUUUUCUUUACACCCCCCACCCUUCUCUACUCCCUGAUGCCCCGUUAUACACUCCCACCCCCAGCAUCCCCUUUUCUGUGGCCUGCACAAUGAGCUCAUUGUCCCGGGUGUGAUUUGAAUAAGGGAUCGGUGGGCCUGUUCCCAGCAUUGUCCAAGGGGCUGGGAAAAACCCCAGCGCAGGCAGGAGGACCAGACCAGACAGAGACAGAUGCCUAAAUUAGCAACAAAGCUUUGUGCACGUCCCCUGGACAAGGGCUCGCCUUGUUUGCGUGGACUCGAGGGUGUGGAGCUGGCCGGCUGCUCGCAUGUCUCCCCAUGUUAAUUAGUUUUGCAUGCAUGUCUGAGAAGGUGCCAGGGGAGAUGUGUUUGCCUUUCCCCGGGAGGGGGCCCUGUUUGUGGCUGGCCAGUAGGCUGGGGUCUUGGCGCUGAGAGGGGCUGGGCCUACCUGGGGAGCCAGGCUCUGAGCCUGGCUGGGGAAUCACAGCUUUCCCAUCCUGUAGUUCUGUCUCUCUGACCUCUGGGGGGCUUGGCUUUGCUCCUUAUGCCUUCUCCCUGCCACUCCUCCAUGUUUGAAAGUUGGUCAGCUCUGACUACUGGGACUCACUGGCUUCCUCCCAGACCCAGGCCAGUGCCUGUCCAUCUGGCAGUCUGUCUCUUGCGACACAGGGCCCCUCGGGACCGGGCAGCAGAAACAGCCAGUCUGGACUCUUCUCCGUCCCCGAGCCAGAUGGCCAGUCUGCUGAUCGCAUUACGGCCUCCCCUGUCCCCAGACCCCUGCCGCCUGUGGUUGGACCAGGAUCUUGUGUGGGAUAUGAUGGAGAAGCUCCCUUUUAGGACCUCAUAGAGGCCUGGCCCUGAAAGGAAAGGGGUCUGGUAGACAGGGCGUAAGGCAUGUAUGUCCUUGCUACCAGCUUCUAUGUGACCUCAGGCAGGCCAAGUGACCCCGACUCCUGAAUCUUAGUUUUCUUGUUGGCAAGAGGAGUGAGUUGAGCUUAGGAAUCUCUUGGCUCUCUUCUAGCUCAGAAAACCUCUGAUGGUGGUAACAGUGGUGAUCAUUUCAAAACUGUGUUGAUGUAGCAUUCACUGAUGUAGCACAAUGACAGGAAUGGGACUAAUGAAUUCUGGCUGGGGUGGAGGGGAGUGUUGCAGGAAGGAGUUCAUCCCUGUUGAUAUUCAGUGUGGACUCCUGUUUUCAGAGUGUGGGGAGGACCAGGAGCAGGCAGAGCCUGUCUUCCCAGGUCUUCACAGAGGAGCCCUUCCCCAUCCCUACCCUGCAGUGGUGAGAAGCAGGCCCUGGCCCAGCAGAAGGGAGCUUGGCAGUGGCAAAGAAGCAGCUGGAGGGAUAGCAGCUGCUGGCCAGGGCCCUGGGUGUGUCCUGGUUGCCCCUUGCAGGUCCUGGGAUGGGGUUG